rnacentral:rRNA from 1 species
AACGCGAAGAACCUUACCUACCCUUGACAUCCUAAGAAUCUUACAGAGAUGUAGGAGUGCCGAAAGGAAUUUAGAGACAGGUGCUGCAUGGCUGUCGUCAGCUCGUGUUGUGAGAUGUUGGGUUAAGUCCCGUAACGAGCGCAACCCUUAUCCUUAGUUGCCAACAUGUAAUGGUGGGGACUCUAAGGAGACUGCUGGUGAAGAACCGGAGGAAGGUGGGGACGACGUCAAGUCAUCAUGGCCUUUAUGGGUAGGGCCACACACGUGCUACAAUGGGGCGCACAGAGGGAAGCGAAGCUGCGAAGCGGAGCGAAUCUCAAAAAACGCCUCGUAGUCCGGAUUGGAGUCUGCAACUCGACUCCAUGAAGUUGGAAUCGCUAGUAAUCGCGAAUCAGAACGUCGCGGUGAAUACGUUCCCGGGCCUUGUACACACCGUAGUAC